UUCCUCUAUCCCAUGAUAAGAAUUUUUGGGUCUGUGUUGUGUGUGUCUUCUACAAAGCUCUUCUGGCCUGGCAUUUCAGGUACACAGAGGCCCAAUAAGCCCACACAGGGCCCCAACAGCCCACUAAAUACUGACUUUCUAUGGUAUCUUAUAGCAGCCCCUCUGGCAUUUGCCAGAACCCACAGAUUGCCAGUCCGGGCCUGGCUGAGUGUACCUUACCUGUUUCACACGCAAGCUGACACUUUAUUCCAUAUCCCAGGCAUUCAAUGCGCCACUUGACAUACCAGUGCCUAUUCUGAAUCCAAGUCAAGGCCUGGGUAGGAGGAAAGGUACUAGAAUCACUGAGUGCCUAACUACCUGGCACCCUUCCUUUAAAUUGGCAAAAUAAAAAAAAACUUUUUGAGGUAAAUAAAAUGUAUUUGACUUUUAGAUGAUUUUCUGUCACAAACCAUUGUUUUAAUCCUUUAUAACUCCAAUUCUGAGGUAAACUGCACUUUUCAGAAUUCCCCACAGUGCUGCGGGUGUACAUACAUGAGGGGAAUUACUAAGUGGGAUAUAAAGUACCACAGGGUAGCCCCCAGCUGGUAUUUUAUAAGGAUGAUGUUAGAUGCCAGUUAUAUUGACAAGGCCAGCAGCAAUACCAAGGGCAUCGUUUAUUCAGGGGGCAAUACCAUGGGCUGUCUCUGGAAAUGGAAGACAAGUGGCACUUAUACCUACUACUCUUAAACCAGAAACUACACUACACUAGUCCUGUAUCUCAGCAGAACUAAAACUCCCAUAAUCCCCACGCAACACGCAAUGGGAGGUUGGAUGUGACUGUAUUUACCAAAAGCGGUACCCCAUUAAAUACAAGUAACUCUAGUUUGUUUGUGUGAGGGGCAGUUCAACAAUAAACCCAUAUUCGCAGUAUAUUGAUGACAGAUUCCACCAGGCCCGGACUAACAAUCUGUGGGUUCUGGCAAAUGCCAGAAGGGCUUCUGUAAGGUCCCAUAGACAGUCACUAUUUAGUGGGCUGGUGGAGGAUGUUUUGGGCCUCUGUGUACUUGGAAUGCCAGGGCCUAUUUGACUCCCAGUCCAGACCUGGAUUCCACUAGAGUCGAGCUACUUCUCAAUCACUCCUGGGGCUGGAGUAGAAGCAGCCACCGUGACUAACAUACUGAGCCCGCCCACCAUUUUUUCUUAUUUGUGACUUCGACAGACGCCGAGUUAUUGUUAAAUCUCCACACAGAAAGUGUAGUAGCAGUCUUUGUCUUUCGGCAAACAAAUAUUUAUUUGACAAUAAUAUACGUUGAGGCGCCUGCUAUUGUACGAACUACAAUGUCCCGCGGCCUAACUGCUAGCCGGGUGCUUCUGGGAAUUGUAGUUUUUCCCCCCAGCAGGCGACGCGUACUCGGCAAAGAGCGGGAUACUAUGAUUGACAGCUGGUACAUCCUAUAGGCGGAAGGCGUUCAUGCUACCGGAAGCGCACUCCUAUUUCGCUUGGGCGAGAGGGCGGAAAGGAGGGUGGGUGGUCGGUCGCGGUGGCGCAGUGUAAUCUUACAGCUGGUUAUAUGUAGGAUUUUUAUAUGCUACUUUUUUUCAGGGGACCCACAAUAACGCUGUGCUAACCAGCAAUUGGUUUAGAAUGGACUGUGCGUCUUAUUUUAGUCGCUAUUUGGGAGGACAAAAGGAAGCGACUAUAUAAGCGAGGAGGAGGGUUGUUAUUGGGCUGUAGGUUUUACUGCUUGAAAUGGCCUCUUGCUUAUUGCCCCCAAAUAGCAGUCUCAGCUGACUACUGCUGUAAUCCAGGGGCAUUAUACUUAGCCAGCAACAGGUCCAAGUAGGUUGGUCUGAAGGCAGAAAUUAUCAUGGCUAUACCUGCUGACAACCCCCCAUUCCCUUUUAGGCCAAGUCUGGUGGCUUAAGACCAGACAUAGGUAGGGUCCUCGCAAGUUGCAGCAUGGUUUGCCUGACUACUGCUAAUGACCUAUAGCUUUACUAUAAUAUUCUGCCUACAGUGACCUGAGAAUCUCUAUCCCGUCGACUUUAAUGCAGCGAAUCUCUUAGGGGUGUAUUAUUACUUUCUGGUCAGGGUUAUUUAGCCAGCAAAGGGGCUGCUGUAAUCCAGGUGCAUUAUACUUAGCCAGCAACAAGUUCAAGUAGGUUGGUCAGAAGGCAGAAAUUAUCAUGGCUAUACCGUGCUGACAACCCCCCAUUCCCUUUUAGGCCAAGUCUGGUGGCUUAAGACCAGACAUAGGUAGGGUCCUCGCAAGUUGCAGCAUGGUAUGCCUGACUACUGCUAAUGACCUAUAGCUUUACUAUAAUCUGCCUACAGUGACCUGAGAAUCUCUAUCCCAUCGACUUUAAUGCAGCGAAUCUCUUAGGGGUGUAUUAUUACUUUCUGGUCAGGGUUAUUUAGCCAGCAAAGGGGCUGCUGUAAUCCAGGGGCAUUAUACUUAGCCAGCAACAAGUUCAAGUAGGUUGGUCAGAAGGCAGAAAUUAUCAUGGCUAUACCGUGCUGACAACCCCCCCAUUCCCUUUUAGGCCAAGUCUGGUGGCUUAAGACCAGACCUAGGUAGGGUCCUCGCAAGUUGCAGCAUGGUUUGCCUGACUACUUCUAAUAACCCUGCUGGUAUUCUGCUAACAGUGACCUGAGAAUCCAUAUCCAGUUGAUGACUUUGAUGCAGUAAAUCUCGUAGGGGUGUAUUAUUACUUUCAGGUCAGGGUUAUUUAGCCUGGCAGUGUUACAGAAUGAGAGAUUCUAAAAACACUACUGCAACUGGCGAACCUGCUCUACUGCUUCGACCCUGAUGCAGUAGCGAUAUUAUCUCAAAUUUUAUCUCUAUUACUUUUUUCAGUUCUGAACCUCACGGUUAAUAUUUCAAAUGAGUUUAUAUAAAAGUGAAGUUAUAGCUGGAAUCAACUUCUAAAUAUUGAAUGGGUGGUGCAGUUAGGUACAUAGUUGGACUAACUGAGGGGCUGCUGUAAUCUAUGGGAAUUAUACUUAGCCAGCAAGUUCAAUUAGAUUGGUCAGAAGGCAGAAUUUGUCAUGGCUAUACCUGUUGACAACCCCCUGUUCCCUUUUAGGCCAAGUCUGGUGGCUUAAGACCAGACAUAGGUAGGGUCCUCGCAAGUUGCAGCAUGGUUUGCCUGACUACUGCUAAUGACCUAUAGCUUUAAUAUAAUAUUCUGCCUACAGUGACCUGAGAAUCUCUAUCCCGUUGACUUUAAUGCAGCGAAUCUCUUAGGGGUGUAUUAUUACUUUCUGGUCAGGGUUAUUUAGCCAGCAAAGGGGCUGCUGUAAUCCAGGGGCAUUAUACUUAGCCAGCAACAAGUUCAAGUAGGUUGGUCAGAAGGCAGAAAUUAUCAUGGCUAUACCGUGCUGACAACCCCCGUUCCCUUUUAGGCCAAGUCUGGUGGCUUAAGACCAGACAUAGGUAGGGUCCUCGCAAGUUGCAGCAUGGUUUGCCUGACUACUUCUAAUAACCCUGCUGGUAUUCUGCUAACAGUGACCUAAGAAUCCAUAUCCAGUUGAUGACUUUGAUGCAGUAACUCUCAUAGGGGUGUAUUAUCAUUUUCAGGUCAGGGUAAUUUAGCCUGGCAGUGUUACAGAAUGAGAGAUUCUAAAAACACUACUGCAACUGGCGAACCUACUCCACUGCUUAGUCCCUGAUGCAGUAGCGAGAUUAUCUAAAAUUUUAUCUCUAUUACUUUUUUCAGUAUAGCUGGAAUCAACUUCUAAAUAUUGAAUGGGUGGUGCAGCUAGGUACACAGUUGGACUAACAGAGGGGCUGCUGUAAUCUAGGGGCAUUAUACUUAGCCAGCAAAUUCAAUUAGAUUGGUCAGAAGGCAGAAUUUGUCAUGGCUAUACCUGUUGACACCCCCCUGUUCCCUUUUAGGCCAAGUCUGGUGGCUUAAGACCAGACAUAGGUAGGGUCCUUGCAAGUUGCAGCAUUGUUUGCCUGACUACUGCUACUGACCUAUAACUUUAAUAUAACCCUGCUGGUAUUCUGCCUACAGUAAUCCAAGUAUCUCGAUCCGAUAGACUGAUGUAGUAAAUGUCGUAGGGGUGUAUUAUUACUUUCUUGUCAGGGUUAUUUAGCCUGGAGGUGUUACAGGAUGAGAGAUUCGAAACACACCGCUGCAACUGGCGAACCUGCUCCACCACUUACUCCCUGAUACAGGAGCGAGAUUAUCUCAAUUUUUUUCUCUUAUUACUUUUUUAAAGAUCUUAACCCAUAAUCAAUAUUUUAAAUGACUUUAUAUAAAGGUUAAGUUUUAGUAGGAAUCAACUUCUAAAUAUCGAAUUGGUGAGGCAGUUCGAUACAUGGUCGGACUGUUAGAGGGGCUGCUGUAAUCCAAAGGCAUUAUACUUAGCCUGCAACAAUUUUAUUGAGUUGGUCAGAAGGCAGAAAUUAUCAUGGCUAUACCGUGCUGACAACCCCCCAUUCCCUUUUAGGCCAAGUCUGGUGGCUUAAGACCAGACAUAGGUAGGGUCCUCGCAAGUUGCAGCAUGGUUUGCCUGACUACUGCUAAUAAUCUAUAGCUUUAAUAUAACCCUGCUGGUAUUCUGCCUACAGUAAUCCAAGAAUCUCUAUUCAGUUGACUGAUGCAGUGAAUCACAUAGGGGUUUAUUAUUACUUUCUGGUCAGGGUUAUUUAGCCUGGAGGUGUUACAGGAUGAGAGAUCCGAAACACACCACUGCAACCGACGAACCUGCUCUAUCACACCCUGAAUUUUGGUAUGAAUGGGUGAGGCAGUUAAGAUACACAGUCUGUCCUGAAUUAAGUGGAGAUAGAGGACACUUCAAUGAUAUUUUGUGCUGUAAAUUGCUGUGUAUUGGGCCUGUGGGGGGCUGUUUGGGACUCUGUGUACCCAAAAUGCCAGGGCCUAUUUUGAUUCAGUUCAGACCUGGUAUAAUAUAUUUUAUAUGCCUUAAGUGCUGGAUAAUUAUGUGGAGCAUUAACAUGCUAUUGCACAACUCAGAAUAUGCUGGUACUUUAUAAAUAUAUAAUAAAUAAUAACAUGCACUGUCCAUAUUAUAAAACUCUGUACCCUUAGAGCAGAUAUCUUAAGGUCUUUUUUUUAUUUUAACACAGUUUUUUUUUGUAGUUAAACUUUUCAGUCUUUCCAAGGUAAACAUCUAUGAAAACAUGAUCUCGUAGCAGUACAGCCGGUCAUUAGGUAUAAGAUUCGAACAUCAAGGGCUUAACUCCAUGGGAAAUUUUGUAGGAUCGACAUAACGCACCCCGCAAGUCAGAUGUAGUCACAUGGGUUUAAAUAUAAUAUAUAAAAUCUGAUGGAUAAAUUACAUGAAUCAUUUGCCAUCCGACACAACACGCCUGUCGGAUGGAUACGCAACAUGCUGCAUCUAAAUUGACAAGAUAAAAACCGAUGUUGUCGGAAAGCCUUUUUUUUCCUCUUUGAAAUACAUUGACUGUCAGAUGUAAACGCAUGAGCAAAAGACUCCAUCCGACUUUAUCUGAUUUGACAUUACAUUACAGUUGUGGGGAAUCUGAUUUUGAAGCAUCCUAUAAAAUCUUGUGCUGUUGUGUGAUGUUGCAUAGAUCAGAUAAGAUCUAACCUACAAAAUGUGAUCAAAAUCUUUUGUGGAGUUUAGUUCUUAGAGAGGUCUUACAAAGAGUGGAUUUUUACCUGAUUUGGCAACCAAUGUUGGGCCAAAUUUAGAUGACCUGAUUGUUUGGCCAUGGGACCAAACACCGAAGCAUAAUGCGGGUUAGGGGACACCUGUAAGAAAAGCAGUGCAUUGACAGGUUAUCUGGAGGGCCCCAUACACUGCCAAAUAAUGUCCUACUCAGUCUGGUUGUCGGCAUGUGUAUUGCUUAACUCCAAUAUCUCUAGGGAUAUCCUAAAUUGUAAAUAAACAUUUACACUCAUUACACCCUAUGUAGCCUCCAGUGUAUCUCAUAUCUGCUCACACAUAGCUGUAUCUCCAUCGCAUUGCUAAUAAAUUCUGUUGUCCAUCACAUUAGGCAAUUCGUGGCUGUGGUCCAAAUGUCACAUGCAACUAGCUGCUUCCCAUUGAGUGUACAGAGAUAACUGUGUGUUUAGUGUGACCCAUGGCGCAACAUGCUUUGGCUUUGUCCAAAAGGCAAUGUCCUAACUGAUUUCCGACUUUGACAGAAGUCAUUGGGUGCAGGUUGUAAUGGACCAACCUGUUGAUUAGGAUUUGAUUAAUAGCAGUAGGAUAUUGGGGUAAAUGGAAUCUAAAAUUCUAAAAGGGUAGUCGGAAUGAAAACACAAUUAGAUUUAAUCAGGCAAAGGCCCCUAAAGUAUCAGAGUAUGGAUAUUUAUGAAUGUACUAUAAGAAUGUCAACAGAUAUUACGUGA